rnacentral:rRNA from 1 species
AAUCAACGCUGGCGGCGCGCCUAACACAUGCAAGUCGAACGAGAACGGCUUCAGCAAUGGGGCCUAGUACGGUGGCGAACGGGUGAGUAACACGUGGGUGAUCUACCCUCAAGUGGGGGAUAACCCGGGGAAACCUGGGCUAAUACCGCAUAAUAUCCGCAAGGAUCAAAGGAGUAAUUCGCUGGAGGAUGAGCCCGCGGCCGAUUAGCUAGUUGGCGGGGUAACGGCCCGCCAAGGCUCUGAUCGGUAGCCAGUCUGAGAGGACGCACGGCCACACUGGAACUGAAACACGGUCCAGACUCCUACGGGAGGCAGCAGUGGGGAAUCUUGCACAAUGGGGGAAACCCUGAUGCAGCGACGCCGCGUGGGUGAUGAAGCUCUUCGGAGUGUAAAGCCCUUUCGGCAGGGAAGAGUAAAGACGGUACCGUAUCAGAAAGGACCGGCUAACUUCGCGCCAGCCGCCGCGGUAAGAC